rnacentral:rRNA from 1 species
UUUAAUGUUAUCUGCUCAUGAAUAUUAAAUAGCCGCAAUUUUAGUGCUAAGGUAGCAUAAUCAUUCGUCUUUUAAUUGAAGACUAGAACAAAAGAUUAAACAUUUUAAUUAUUUUAUUUAAAAUAUAAUUUAAAAUUUUCUAAAAUGUAAAAAGACAUCUACAACAAAGAAAGACGACAAGACCCUAUUGAACUUAACUAUAGUUAAACUGGGGCAGUUUAAUAAUUAUUAUUUUAUUAAUCUUUAAAAACAAAACAUCUAUUAUUAAUAAUAAAAAGUUACCAUAGGGAUAACAGCAUAAUAAAUAUUUUAAGACCUUAUAUAAAUAUAAUAUUAUGACCUCGAUGUUGAAUUAAUAACCUGUAUUAUGCAAUAAUUAUACAAGGAAGUCUGUUCGACUUUUUAAAAAUUACAUGAUCUGAGCNAANCCCCGGAGGA